AAGCGAGGCAGGGAGGGAAGGAGGGAAGGAGGCGGUGCUGGGGCGGUGAUCGGCCCCGGUCGGCCGGGAAUCGAGUCCGGCCGCUCCGCCCUCCGCGGCCGGGGCGCUGCGGACAAGGCGCGUCCGCCUCAGGGGCGGCGGGAGAACGGCCGGGCCCGUGAGGGCUGAGGAGGAGGAGGUCUUUCGUGCUUCCAUAAGGACAAUAGUUUCUUUGGCUGAAACAUCCUGUCCAGAGGGUUACAAUAAAACACUUUGCACUUGAAUUGUUUGCCUUCCUGACCCCUCAGCUUUCUGCCAGCUUCUGACUGUGCCUGCAACUCCAAAGCUCUGCAGCCAUCCCUACCAGCAACAGCAAGUUCCUGCUCCUGUCAGUUAAAAGCCUGUUUACCUUUGAACUCAGUGGGAACAAGAACCGGGCCCUUGUGCAACUGUGGGAAAUAAUUGACUGCAGUAACAUUUCCAUCAGCCCUGUGAGUUGAUUUGAACCAGAUUACUCAGGAAACUCAAAAGCCCGAUGCAAGGUUUUUAUGAUGGCUUUUUCCAAGGCAAAAAUCCAUGGACUGGCUUCAUACCACCAGCACAGUUUAGGUUUUCCAUUGUGAGACUGAUGCUACCCUUGAGCCUGAAAAUGGCUGGCAAGAGACUUCUGGGUGCCCGGAGGAGACUGUCACAGCAGUGCCUGUGGGGAGAUGCUGGAGUCACUCAGGCACAGCAAGUCCUUCUCUGAGCCAACUGAUCCUUGGCAGGUUGCAAACAGAGCAAAACUGUGAGUAACUACCCUCAGAAUGGAAAAGGGAGAUGAUAUCAGUUCACUUUGGUUGCAUUUCCAUCAGUGUUUAUCAAGGGAAAGUACUCCUGGGUGAAAGGGAACAUCACAUACGGGGCGUUCAGGAAAUCACCACCAAAGCUGAACGUGGAUGAAAAUUUAAUGGGGCUUGUAGAUUAUAACUGGUGUCUUUCAUGACCACCAUGGAACACCCAGGGAAGUCAUGUGAUGGGAAAUUAAGUUUACAACCCCAGUCCACUCGAGUGGAUGGAGCCUCCUCAUGUAUUAUGCUCUAAAUGCAAUUAAGAGUUCUGUGUACAGGAAGUCUCUUAGCAAUUAAAUGUUCUGCUUGAGCUUGGGAUCAGGAGUGUACUCAGAUGUAACUGUUGAGCUGGAGGAGGUAAGACCAAAAGCAA